AUAUUGCACAUUAAGUGGGUUGAAUAGGCCAUAGACAUCAGAAGAGAAAAGAAAAGAAAGAACCUUAGUCAUUUUAUAAAGCCUUCACGUGGUCGGGACCAACCAUAUACUCCUGCUUUGGAUGGUGGCUGAGGCUCAAAGCUGGGAACCGAAGGCACAAAGUACCACACAUUCUAAACACAAAAAGAGGUCAGCAACAGAGGUCAGCUGCCACUCCCUGGAGCAUGCUGGGAUAUGCCAGAACUGGCCCUGCUACCGCCAUCUUCACCCCCAGGCAACAUAAGGGAAAAACAAAAGGAUAAAGGAAGGAACUGGACUUCAUUCUCCUGCAAAAGCUGCUUGAUCUUGACCUGCUGCUGCUUGACCCGGGUCUCAAGCAGGCGCACCUGGGCUCUGAGCCGCACCUGCUCCUGGGCACAGUCCUCGAGCGCCUGUAAAACAGAAUAUCAUUCCAAACAGAAAGUGGUUUGAAAAGUUCUAAUACCACCUACUAUUUGAAGAAUUGGAAAUUAUGGCUUAUGCGAAAACUCCUGGACUCAAAAGAUCAAAUAAUAUAAAAUAAUCAGAAUCGCUAUGCUAGGAGCUUUACAGUUGUCUCAUUCGAUCCUCAUAACAAUUCCAUGCGGUAGGAAAGGGCUCAGUCCUGAUGCCCAGUGGGUAAGCAGAGGUGGGAUUCAAAUUCAGUUCAAGGACCAUGCUGUC